AAAGCAAAGUACCUCGGUACCACAAACACGUCCCCUUCACUCACUUUUCUGCUCAUCGCUGCCGUUCCGUUUGGAUAAACAAUCUGAAUUCUUCCACUUCCCCUCAGUACAAUGCCGUAUUCCGUUGCUGUCGGAUUCACAUGUGGCGCCAUCAUCGACCCCUGCAUGAAGAAAAGGGAAGGAAAAAAAGAACUCGUGAAUUACAAUUCAUGUUUGCUAAUUGUUUGUUUGCAGAGGUCUGGGAUUCGAAUCUCGCUUCUUCUUUUGCUUACCGCGGUGAGAUUGACAAGAUAAACACCGAUGCCAGAGUGUCUGAGAGGGGAAUAAUCGGAGUCAUCGACGGCAAUGCUCCAUCCAUAGUUGUUCUUAAAGUCAGGGUUUCGGUUGUAGAGGUUGUAUGAAUCUGGUGCUUUUCGGGUUCCUCGUUCUUUCUUGUUUUCGGUCCCGAAUACUGACGUCAAGAGUUUCCUCCAUGACCAUUUUAUUUCUUCUCCGUCUUCAUCUUGUUCUCG
rnacentral:lncRNA from 1 species